CAUGUCUUUUAGAUUAUUUUUUAAAGUCUGACCUGCCCACUGAUUGUAAUUAAAUGGCCGCAGUAUUUUAACUGUGCAAAGGUAGCAUAAUCACUAGUCUUUUAAUUGAAGGCUUGUAUGAAUGGUUGGACGAAGUGUAAGCUGUAUCAAAAAAAAUUUUAUUAGAAUUUUAUUUUUUAGUUAAAAAGCUAAGAUUUUGUUUAAAGACGAGAAGACCCUAUAGAUUUUUAUAUGUUAUAAUUAUAAUAAUAUUUGGUUAAUUUAAUUUUUGUUUUUAUAAUAUAUUUUGUUGGGGUGACGUUAAAAUUUACAGAACUUUUAUUUAAAUUUUACAUUUAUUUAUGGGUAGUUGAUCCGUUUUUAGCGAUUAUAAGUUUAAAUUACCUUAGGGAUAACAGCGUAAUUUCUUUGGAGAGUUCAUAUCGAUAGGGAAGAUUGCGACCUCGAUGUUGGAUUAAAAUUAAAAUUGGGUGUAGAAGUUCAAUUAUUUAAGUCUGUUCGACUUUUAAUUUUUUACAUGAUCU
rnacentral:rRNA from 1 species